AUGGAGGAGAGAGUAGCCUAUACCAUCAACAAGAGUAUAGAGAUAUGUGUUUUGAAGACUGGGAGAAAUUGUAAGCAGACCCAUCAUGUGUAGAUUAUGGAGGAGAGAGUAGCCUAUGCCAUCAACAAGAGUAUAGAGAUAUGGUUUUGAAGAAUGGGAGAAAUUGUAAGCAGACCCAUCAUAUCACUGGAAGGAAAUGGUGAAUAAGAGUGAACGGUAAAGUUAAGGGCAUGUGCUAUAGCUGCGCAUGGCCUCAGCGCUCAUUUCGGUCACACUGGUCCUUGAGCCUGUGGUGGGGUAUAGGAUAUAAAGAGUACUAAUUAGGAAUAUAUAAUGCAUCGUUAGAGGUUGAAGGGGAAUCUUGAGACAUCCUAAAGUUAAACACAUUGACCUUAUGACACUACUUAUGACCUUAUGUUACUUCUUAUGACCUUACGAGACACUACAUGUGACCUUAUGACACUACUUGUGACCUUAUGACACUUAAUGACCUUAUGACACUUAAUGACCUUAUGACACUUCUAAUAACCUUAUGACACUAUUAAUGACCUUAUGACACUACUAAUGACCUUAAGACACUUUGAAUGACCUUAAAACACUACUUAUGACCUUAUGACACUACUUAGGCCUUACGACUUUUCUUAUGAGCUUAUGUUACUUCUUAUGACCUUAUGACACUUCUUAUGACCUUAUGAAACUACCAAUGACCUUAUACUUAUGACCUUACGACUUUUCUUAUGAGCUUAUGUUACUUUUUAUGACCUUAUGACACCACUAAUGACCUUAUGACACUACUAAUGACCUUAUGACACUACUUUUGACCUUAUGACACUACUUAUGACCUUAUGACCCUUCUAGUAAAGCCUAACAUUUCUUCUCGGUACAAAGACUAAAGAUGAGAGACUGACACGCAAAAGUCUACAUUUAUUAAGACAAACCAAGUCCAAAUAAGAACAUCCACGUGGACUUAUCAAACAAAUAUUAACUACCGAUGACAAACUGACACUUAAAUUAAAAAUAAAAGUAGCAUAUACAUAGACAAGACUGACAUGGGAUUAGGACAAGAUUUAUUUAUGUCGCAAAUUGAUGCCCCGGACCACCAGCCGCCGCCACCUUGAUCUCCGCAGCAUCCCAGGUAACUUAAUAGGCUACUGUAGCGUCACUCCGCUCCACAUGACCACACCACGAAACACAUGAUAAAAGGGAUUGAUUGAUUGAUAGUUUAUUGUUGCAAGUAAAGAACAAAGGAGAAGGGAGGAGUAUGCCGUCCCAACCCCCAGGCAGGACAGUGUGAUUAUACAACUUAGGAUACAUGUGGAAGUAGGGUAUUACUGUGAUGCCAAAAUUUAGUUAAGUGCGGGAAAAUGUAAAUUAGGGAGGAAAAGCAGUGUUAAGUAUUAUAAGUAGGUAUAAGUGUCGCCAGGACUGGUGCUUGAGAGGCGGGGAAAAUUCCACCCGGCAACAGUCCUGGCUACACUUCUACCAACUUAUAAUACUAAACACCACUUUUCCUUCUUUAUUUACAUUUUCCCGUACUUCACUAAAUUUUGGCAUUACAUUAUUGGUGCCGGGGAUCGAACCCGCGACCGGCUAGAUGGGAAAACCAAUCGCCCUCAGAAGUGAAAACCUCGUUCGUGUAGUGUGUCUGGGAGGCUUUCCGCAUCAAGAGGGUUCACUAAGACUAUACCCCUUCCCUGGCAGAAGUGAAGUCAUGGGAAGGACUAUUAAAAUUACACCUGAUCCCAUAACGACCUGGGCGCGGAUUCAUCAAACCACUUACGAGACCCUGUUGUUGGUAAGUCUUCUAGUAACUCCAUCAUCUAGGAACGCGCUUGAUCUUAAGGUGACUCCAAUGCCAAUGAAAGAAGUGUCGACCAGGCCAGUACUUCAUUCACUUGUCAUCGGAGCAGCCUAAACUCAAGGAUCAUUCGUAGAGGACAGAUUUACUAAAAGACUUAUAAACGACCGGUCUUGUAGUGGCUUGAUGAAUCCGGCCCCUGAGCAUCGGCGUGUUGGUAGGAAUGACGGGGGUACAUUUCUGGGGCCCCCGUGGUCUAGCGUGCGUCUCACCCAGUUGUUCAUCCUCCCUUUCGGGCUGGUCGAUAAAUGGGUACCUGGGGAAGAUAAACUGUGGUAACCCGGAUGUCACUUUGGCCCGGGGUAAUGGGCUCCCUCCCACCACAGGCUCAAGGGCCAAUGUCACGGAGAUGAGCACCGAGGCCACGCGCUGCUGCAGAGUAUGCCCCCAACUCUACCUUUACCUUUAUCCUCAAGCAUUUCGACACUUUCACACGUUAGUCUAAAAAGGCUAUACAGAAAUUAUAUAUAUGAAUACACACACACACACACACACACACGCAUCUCCCAGCAUCCAUCCAUUACUGCUACACUUAAUUAAUUCACGCGGUCUGGCCGGGUCUAACUACUACAAAUGGUAAAGGUCAGUGAUGAAGGAGACUAUGAUGGAGAGUCUGGCUGUCUUAUCACUCUUAUAUCACUGUAGAAUCGCUUUAAUACUGGACGAGAAGUGGAAGUACCCUCUCGUUAUGGUCGUGUCAGUGUGAACAAGGUAAAGAGGAGUGAAGGUAGUUAAGAGCACGAUAUGGAUGGGACGUGAAAGAGUAGACGGGUAGUAGCCUAGAUGGGAGCUUAUGCGACUGUAUAUUUAAAUUAGCUGCUUGUGGCCUCAGUGCUCAACUCCGUCACAUUAGCCCUUAUGCCUGUGGUGGGGGGGGAUUCUGUAACUCAAGAUAAUGUUUUCUUAUCUAACAUUACAUAACGACGAGCUUGCAAGGGUUGUAUUUAUGCGUUUCUUAUCGCCCCAGACUCAUCUAUAAUGUAACCUUGUAGCCGUGGGAACUGUUUUUACAAUGUGUGUCUUCAAGUAGGUCAAUAAGUAGAGUAGAUGUGUGAUAAAUGUAUUGUAGUCAGUAGUUUUAGCGAGGGAAGGGCAGAGGUGGAAGGGUUGUGUUUAUAUGUAUUUUAUGGUUGCAGACUGAUCUAUUGUAUAACCUGGUAGCCGUGGAAACUGUUUUAACAAUAUGGGUAUCUUCGUGUCCGUCAAUAAUUAAUGUAGAUGUGUGAUAAACGUCUUGUAGUGAUAAACGUUUCGUAGUGAUAAACGUUUUCGUAGUGAUAAACGUUUUCGUAGUGAUAAACGUUUUCGUAGUGAUAAACGUUUUCGUAUUGAUAAACGUUUUGUAGUCUGUAGUUUCAGCGGGGAAGGGCAGCCCGGGGGUGGGGGUCUGCGAGUGAGUGAAGUAAUGCGCCCCCUGCCGUAUGCUCUCUGUUAGUUAUAGUUCAGUGUUCUUUGGGGGAUAAGAAGUACAGGCUUUGGGUGAAUGACGUGUUAGGCCUAUCCAGUAAUACUUUGACCAACUUAAGUCUGUAAAUAUCUAACAACCACGAUAUUGUGAACAUUAGAUUAUUUUUAUGCUGAGAAAUCGUACUGCUGGUAUAUAUAUCUUAAUAGUUGGAUGUUCAAACUUCUUCCUUUACUGUUUACAAGAUGAUUUUAAUUGUUUAUAGUUUGUAUUUGGUUACUAAAAGGUCGGGAUAUGC